GACGAACGCUGGCGGCGUGCCUAAUACAUGCAAGUCGAGCGGACCAAACAGGAGCUUGCUCUUGUUUGGUUAGCGGCGGACGGGUGAGUAACACGUGGGUAACCUGCCCGUAAGACCGGGAUAACUCCGGGAAACCGGAGCUAAUACCGGAUAACACCGAAGACCGCAUGGUCUUUGGUUGAAAGGCGGCUUCGGCUGCCACUUACGGAUGGGCCCGCGGCGCAUUAGCUAGUUGGUGAGGUAACGGCUCACCAAGGCGACGAUGCGUAGCCGGCCUGAGAGGGUGCCCGGCCACACUGGGACUGAGACACGGCCCAGACGCCUACGGGAGGCAGCAGUAGGGAAUCUUCCGCAAUGGACGAAAGUCUGACGGAGCGACGCCGCGUGAGCGAAGAAGGUCUUCGGAUCGUAAAGCUCUGUUGUUAGGGAAGAAGAAGCGCCGUUCGAACAGGGCGGCGCGGUGACGGUACCUAACGAGAAAGCCCCGGCUAACUACGUG
rnacentral:rRNA from 1 species